AUAAUUCCUAUUUUUCUCCGCCAUUAACUUCCCCUUCUCCUUCACAAGUUCCAUAAAUUCUCUCUAAGCUUAUGGCAACUCAGUUCUAGAAUCUUCUAUAACUCAAUCUCUAUAUCUGCUACUAAGACGAAAAUGGCGAGUAUUUCAGCUACACUUUCAACUGCAACUUUACCGGAACUCAAAUUUCUAUCUCCGAUUUCCACUUCCAGAAGUUUCCGUUUCCGUAUACCUCAGCGGAGUAGAAUUAAGGCGGCGUCGGGUAAGAGAGAAGAUAACGUGGUGUUGGAGGAGAGAGAUGCGGAAUUGUUGAGGAAAGUGAAUGGGAGUGUGAAUGGGAAUGGGAGUGUGAAGAGGAGUGUUGAUUUGAAUGGUGCGUUGUUGGUGGAUAAGUAUAGUAAUGGAAGUGUAGGUGUGGUUGAGAGUGAAAAUGGAAGUUUGAUGAAGUAUGUGAAUGGAAAUGGUGUAGCGGGGAAGAGUGCGGAGAAGGUUGUGGAGGUGAAGGCGGAAGAAGUGGUUGAGAAGAGGAAUAAGAAGAGUAUUGAUGAGAUAGGACAAGAGGAGGCUUGGUUUAAGAAGAAUAAGGAAGUUAAGGUCUCUGUACCGCCUGGAGGCCGUUGGAACAGAUUCAAAACAUAUUCAACUAUUCAAAGGACUUUAGAGAUAUGGGGAUCUGUCUUCACUUUCUUAUUCAAGGCUUGGUUGAAUAAUCAAAAGUUCUCCUAUCAAGGUGGAAUGACAGAAGCAAAAAAAACUGAGCGGAGAAAGGUCCUUGCUAAGUGGUUAAAAGAAACUAUUUUGAGAUUGGGUCCAACUUUUAUCAAGAUUGGCCAGCAAUUCUCAACAAGAGUGGAUAUUCUUGCUCAGGAGUAUGUUGAUCAGUUGUCUGAGCUUCAGGACCAAGUUCCUCCUUUCCCAUCUGAAACUGCUGUAUCAAUAGUUGAAGAAGAACUUGGCGGCUCAUUGGAUAAUAUAUUUGAAAGAUUUGACCGUGAACCAAUAGCUGCUGCAAGUCUUGGUCAGGUGCAUCGUGCAAGACUGAAUGGGCAGGAAGUAGUUGUCAAAGUACAAAGGCCCGGUCUUAAGGAUCUUUUUGAUAUCGAUCUUAAAAACCUGAGGGUGAUAGCUGAAUAUCUGCAGAAAAUAGAUCCUAAAUCUGACGGUGCGAAAAGAGAUUGGGUUGCAAUCUAUGAUGAAUGUGCAAGUGUCUUGUAUCAGGAGAUUGAUUACACUAAGGAAGCUGCCAAUGCGGAACUGUUUGCAAGUAACUUCAAAAACCUAGAUUAUGUGAAAGUCCCAUCGAUAUACUGGGAAUAUACCACACCACAGGUUUUGACAAUGGAGUAUGUCCCAGGCAUUAAAAUAAACAGGAUACAAGCCUUAGAUCAAUUGGGCGUUGAUAGGAAAAGGUUAGGGAGGUAUGCGGUUGAAUCCUAUCUGGAGCAAAUUCUGUCUCAUGGUUUCUUCCAUGCUGAUCCACAUCCUGGAAAUAUAGCCGUGGAUGAUGUUAAUGGUGGAAGGUUGAUCUUUUAUGAUUUUGGAAUGAUGGGAAGCAUAAGUCCUAAUAUCAGAGAAGGCUUGCUGGAGACGUUCUAUGGAGUUUAUGAGAAAGAUCCAGAUAAGGUCCUGCAAGCAAGUAUUCAAAUGGGUAUUCUGGUUCCUACUGGCGACAUGACUGCUGUCAGACGAACUGCACAGUUUUUCCUUAAUAGCUUUGAAGAGCGCCUUGCAGCACAAAGAAAGGAGAGAGAAAUGGCACAAGCAGAACUUGGGUUCAAAAAGCCAUUGACCAAGGAGGAACUAAAGGAGAAAAAGAAGCAACGUUUGGCUGCAAUUGGUGAAGAUCUACUAGCCAUUGCAGCAGAUCAGCCAUUCCGAUUUCCUGCCACAUUUACUUUUGUGGUUAGAGCAUUUUCAGUUUUGGAUGGCAUUGGGAAGGGUCUUGAUCCACGAUUUGAUAUCACUGAGAUAGCCAAACCCUAUGCCCUAGAGUUGCUUAGGUUUCGUGAAGCUGGUAUUGAAGUCGCGGUAAAGGACUUCAGGAAGAGAUGGGACAGACAGUCUCAGGCAUUCUACAACUUGUUCAGGCAGGCUGAUAGAGUUGAGAAACUUGCUGCAAUUAUCCAGCGACUGGAGCAAGGUGAUCUUAAGCUUCGGGUUAGAGCUUUAGAAUCUGAAAGGGCUUUCCAACGUGUUGCUGCUGUUCAGAAGACAAUUGGAAGUGGAGUAGCCGCUGGAAGCUUGGUUAACCUAGCUACACUUUUGUAUCUCAACUCCGUCCGUAUCCCCUCUAUUAUAGCGUACACUGCCUGUGCAUUCUUUGGCUUCCAAGUCCUGUUUGGCCUUCUGAAGGUUAAAAAAUUAGAUGAACGAGAAAGAUUGAUUACUGGAACAGCUUGAACAAAUGAUUGUUGAGGGUGGGAGAAAAAAUAGGUAGUCCCGUGAACAGGUCAUUCUGUUAUCAUCACUGCAGUUUUAAGCGAAGCAGCAACAGGAAAUACAAAUUAAAAGACAUCUUUGCUAAACAUUACAGGUUAUGCUGUGAUAUAAUAUAUGGGAACUGCUAUUUCAAGCUGUAACCCUGGAAAAACAAAAAUAACAAGGAGGGGACUUAACGGAUCAUUGAGGAUUCAUAGAACUCCCAUAUGGCCAAGAGUUGCCAGUUUUGUCAUUCAGCUUUAAGAUGCAUCAUGUGGUAAGGCUUCCAAUAUGGAGGUUAACUUCUAAUUAUGUUGGCCAAAACAGAUUGUUGUAUUUGGCCAUCUCCACUAUAGAGCAGUCCUGUGAAGUAGUCCAAAUAAGAAAUAUCUUUCAUGUAGUAUGACACCCAUUUUGACCUUCUGUAGCCUUAGUGUAUAGGUAUACAAAAUCUAGGAGAUAAAUGUAACUAACUUUAGCCCUAUCUAUCUUCAAUUUUAUUUGUGGAGUUCGAUUCUCUUGUAUUUCUGUGUAUUAUACGAUGUGAACUUCUAUUUAUUGUAAAAUCAGUGCCAUACGAGUUUCCUAGGGAUCAAAUAUGUCAUUGAGCUAACCCUUCUUUGUAUUAGUCCUCUGUAUAUGUAUUAAUAUAUCAAGUCUUCUUAGACUAUGUAUAUAAUUUCAACUUGUUCAAAACAGUCA